rnacentral:rRNA from 1 species
GAUGAACGCUGGCGGUAUGCUUAACACAUGCAAGUCGAACGGAGUGCUUCGGCACUUAGUGGCGGACGGGUGAGUAACGCGUGAGAAUCUGGCUUCGGGUUCGGGACAACAGUGGGAAACUGCUGCUAAUACCGGAUGUGCCUAAGGGUAAAAGAUUAAUUGCCCGAAGAUGAGCUCGCGUCCGAUUAGCUAGUUGGUGUGGUAAGAGCGCACCAAGGCGUCGAUCGGUAGCUGGUCUGAGAGGACGAUCAGCCACACUGGGACUGAGACACGGCCCAGACUCCUACGGGAGGCAGCAGUGGGGAAUUUUCCGCAAUGGGCGAAAGCCUGACGGAGCAAUACCGCGUGAGGGAGGAAGGCUCUUGGGUUGUAAACCUCUUUUCUCAGGGAAGAAAAAAAUGACGGUACCUGAGGAAUCAGCAUCGGCUAACUCCGUGCCAGCCGCCGCGGUAACAC